UCCGGUUGAUCCUGCCGGACCCGACUGCUAUCAGAGUGGGACUAAGCCAUGCGAGUCAACGCAGCAAUGCGUGGCAUACGGCUCAGUAACACGUAGUCAACAUGCCCAGGGGACGUGGAUAACCUCGGGAAACUGAGGAUAAACCGCGAUAGGCCAAGGUUUCUGGAAUGGAUCAUGGCUGAAACCUAUAUGGCCCCUGGAUUGGACUGCGGCCGAUCAGGCUGUUGGUGAGGUAAUGGCCCACCAAACCUGUAACCGGUACGGGCUCUGAGAGGAGGAGCCCGGAGAUGGGCACUGAGACAAGGGCCCAGGCCCUAUGGGGCGCAGCAGGCGCGAAACCUCUGCAAUAGGCGAAAGCUUGACAGGGUUACUCUGAGUGAUGUCCGCUAAGGGCAUCUUUUGGCACUUCUAAAAAUAGUGUAGAAUAAGGGGUGGGCAAGUCUGGUGUCAGCCGCCGCGGUAAUACCAGCACCCCGAGUGGUCGGGACGAUUAUUGGGCCUAAAGCAUCCGUAGCCGGUUCUGCAAGUCUUCCGUUAAAUCCACCUGCUCAACAGAUGGGCUGCGGAGGAUACUACAGGGCUAGGAGGCGGGAGAGGCAAGCGGUACUCAGUGGGUAGGGGUAAAAUCCUCUGAUCCACUGAAGACCACCAGUGGCGAAGGCGGCUUGCCAGAACGCGCUCGACGGUGAGGGAUGAAAGCUGGGGGAGCAAACCGGAUUAGAUACCCGGGUAGUCCCAGCUGUAAACGAUGCAGACUCGGUGAUGGGUUGGCUUCGAGCCAACCCAGUGCCGCAGGGAAGCCGUUAGGUCUGCCGCCUGGGGAGUACGGUCGCAAGACUGAAACUUAAAGGAAUUGGCGGGGGAGCACCACAAGGGGUGAAGCCUGCGGUUCAAUUGGAGUCAACGCCGGAAAUCUUACCGGGAGCGACAGCAGAGUGAAGGUCAAGCUGAAGACUUUACCAGACAAGCUGAGAAGUGGUGCAUGGCC
rnacentral:rRNA from 1 species